ACCAGACCUCAUAAUAGCAUAACAGAUGGCAAGAUGGUGUGAAAGCAGUUGCUAUGGCACUGAGGUAGAUCCGGCCACCCCUGUUAACAGGGACAAAACCCAGAUUUUAAAAAAUGGAUGAUGAUGAUGAUGAUGAUGA